rfam:Salmo salar isolate Sally breed double haploid chromosome ssa18, whole genome shotgun sequence.
UGCAUUCACUACUGUAAGUCGCUCUGUAUAAGAGCGUCUGCUAAAUGACUCAAA